UACGGAGGGUGCAAGCGUUAUCCGGAUUCACUGGGUUUAAAGGGUGUGUAGGCGGGCAGGUAAGUCAGCGGUGAAAGCCCCGAGCUUAACUUGGGAAUUGCCGUUGAUACUAUCUGUCUUGAAUGUUGUGGAGGCGAGCGGAAUAUGGUAUGUAGCGGUGAAAUGCUUAGAUAUGCCAUAGAACACCGAUUGCGAAGGCAGCUCGCUACGCAACCAUUGACGCUGAGGCACGAAAGCGUGGGGAGCAAACAGG
rnacentral:rRNA from 1 species